rnacentral:rRNA from 1 species
UACGAGGGGUGCAAGCGUUGCUCGGAAUUAUUGGGCGUAAAGGGUAGGUAGGUGGUCUCAUUUGUCUGGGGUGAAAGCCUUGAGCUUAACUCAAGAAGUGCCCCAGAAACGGUGAGACUGGAGUCCUGGAGAGGGUCGUGGAAUUCCCGGUGUAGCGGUGAAAUGCGUAGAGAUCGGGAGGAACACCAGCGGCGAAGGCGGCGACCUGGACAGGUACUGACACUCAACUACGAAAGCGUGGGGAGCAAACAGG